ACCUACGGGGGGCAGCAGUGGGGAAUAUUGCACAAUGGGGGAAACCCUGAUGCAGUAACGCCGCGUGAAGGAAGACGGUUUUCGGAUUGUAAACUUCUGUUCUUAGUGAAGAAAAAUGACGGUAGCUAAGGAGCAAGCCACGGCUAACUACGUGCCAGCAGCCGCGGUAAUACGUAGGUGGCAAGCGUUGUCCGGAAUUACUGGGUGUAAAGGGCGUGCAGCCGGAGAGACAAGUCAGAUGUGAAAUCCACGGGCUCAACCCGUGAACUGCAUUUGAAACUGUUUCCCUUGAGUGUCGGAGAGGG
rnacentral:rRNA from 1 species